rnacentral:rRNA from 1 species
GAAGAACCUUACCUGGUCUUGACAUCCUUCUGACCGGUCCUUAACCGGACCUUUCCUUCGGGACAGGAGAGACAGGUGGUGCAUGGUUGUUGUCAGCUCGUGUCGUGAGAUGUUGGGUUAAGUCCCGCAACGAGCGCAACCCCUAUCUUUAGUAGCCAGCAUUUCAGGUGGGCACUCUAGAGAGACUGCCAGGGAUAACCUGGAGGAAGGUGGGGACGACGUCAAAUCAUCAUGCCCCUUAUGACCAGGGCUACACACGUGCUACAAUGGCGUAAACAGAGGGAAGCAGCCUCGUGAGAGUGAGCAAAUCCCAAAAAUAACGUCUCAGUUCGGAUUGUAGUCUGCAACUCG